GACGAACGCUGGCGGCGUGCUUAACACAUGCAAGUCGAACGGUGAAGCGCCUUCCUUUUUGGUGGGUGUGGAUGAGUGGCGAACGGGUGAGUAACACGUGAGUAACCUGCCCCCUUCUUCUGGAUAACCGCAUGAAAGUGUGGCUAAUACGGGAUAUUCUGGGUCUGUCGCAUGAUGGGUCUGGGAAAGAUAUUGUUUCGGUGGGGGAUGGGCUCGCGGCCUAUCAGCUGGUUGGUGGGGGGAGGGCCUACCAAGGCGGUGACGGGUAGCCGGCCUGAGAGGGUGGACGGUCACACUGGGACUGAGACACGGCCCAGACUCCUACGGGAGGCAGCAGUGGGGAAUAUUGCACAAUGGGCGCAAGCCUGAUGCAGCGACGCCGCGUGAGGGAUGGAGGCCUUCGGGUUGUGAACCUCUUUCGCCAGUGAAGCAGGCCUGCCUCGUUUGUGGGUGGGUUGACGGUAGCUGGAUAAGAAGCGCCGGCUAACUACGUG
rnacentral:rRNA from 1 species